GCUGGGCAUGGCGGCGCAUGCCUGUAAUCCCAGCUACUCAGGAGGCUGAGACAGGAGAAUCGCUUGAACCCGGGAGUCGGAGCUUGCAGUGAGCCGAGACUGCACCAUUGCACUCCAGCCUGGGUGACAGAGUGAGACUCUGUCUCAA
ensembl:misc_RNA Metazoa_SRP Metazoan signal recognition particle RNA